rnacentral:lncRNA from 1 species
CCAUGGUGUCUCGCCCUGGGGAGCUGGAGCGGCUGGACCCAGGGGCCUGGCCCUUACUCUUCUCCCACAGAGUGUAACGGCCAGUGGGUCGGUAGGUGGGGCUGAGGACUUCAGGGACUCGAGAGGAAGGGGCCUGGGUGGGCACCUGAGGGGCGCUGCCCUUUCGACCAUAGUUCUCCAGGUAGUCUGUCAGGUACUCCGAGCGGCUGGCUGCCUGAUAGAGCCCCUGCAGGGCGCACAGCUCCUUGCGCGUGCGGGCCAGCAUGGGGCUGCGGCCCAGGUUCCCAGGGUCUAUCCGAUAGCUAUCUGAGGUCCGGAGGCUGGAGAAAUCCCGGGCCAGGUCUGAUUGACUGCUGGACUUCUUCUGGGUCAAGGUUAUACCCUGGUCCCGGGCAGUCCCGGGCAGGUAGCUGAGGGAGUUGUUGGUCACUCCAUAAGGGAAUCCACUGCCCCCGCUGAGUCCGCUCCCUGAAGGCCGCUCAGUGCCUCGAGUCUGGCUCUCUGCCCGCUUACCACCCCCGAUGAUGUCGGGUCUCAGCAGGGGGCGGCCCCUGUCAUAGUCCAGGAUGGAAGAGGGGCCGUAGGUACGGGGACGGGUGAGGAAGCUGGUUGGGGGGCCUGGCUUAAAGGCGAGCUUCUCCUUCUCCAGGAAGGAGGCAGCCAGGUUGGCCCCAUAGGAAGAGGGAGUGUAGGUGCCAUAGCCUGAUUUGGCAUAAGGGGCAUCUGUGUAGCGGGCCGAUUCUGUGUAGCGCUUCAGGGUGGAGGAGAGCUGGGACAUCCUUCAGGGCGGCACUCAGUGGGGACUGGGAGCCUCAUGGGCUGAAAGACAAGGAAAGCAGUUGUCAGAGGGCCCUGCCAGGUUUCAGGCUGCCCCGUACCUGCUCUUCAUCCCCAGCUGGCCACAGCCAGAGACCACACUGUCCGUGUCCGCAAGAGGCUGGCCCGCUGUUAAGAAAUACCCCCGUGCGUGUGCGUACACACACAUGCCUGCGGGUUUGCGUACAGGUUUGCACGCCCCCAUGUAGUCACGCCUGAGGGAGAGCACAAGACGCCAGCUGGCUUUGAUAAACCGUACGGGGCCAUCGAUCACACGUCCUGGCCGCUCCGGGUGCUCCCUGGCAAUGACCCAGACUUGAGAGUGGGGACUGCCCUGCCUCACAGGCCUCCAGUUGACUCACAGUAUUCCAACCCAGAUCUCCUCUGCUUUCAGGGGGUGCUACCGCCCUCAACCCCUGGAUUGAAAAUACGGGACAUUUUAAGAAUUAAGACUGCUUCCCUCCCUUCCUGCUUCAAGGAGGGGCAGGAAUCCUUUUGGAAUCCUACAUUAUCUGAGCUGGAGUGGCCCGAGGAUCACUUGGUCAGAUCCCUGGUGAGGAGAAGGAGGCUCAUGAGAGGAAGUAAUGGGGGCUAGGGAGGCAGUGGUGAGUGAGCAUGUGGCAGAAAGGGGACUUGACCCCAGUCUCCAUAUCCAAUCCCACAGUUCUUCCCUGGACAUGGUCACUUGCUGUGGUGGGGAAUCCUCGUGUGGUGGAAACUGCCCUCUUCACGGAUCUAACUCUUCUGUUCUAGGUGGAGUUAAGGUCCUGUGGCCUCCAGGGGUUCCUCUACCAACAUCCAACCCAGCCGCCUCAGGGGUGAUGACUUGUGCACAGGGGGCCCCCUAGAGGCUAAAAUCCUUCACUACAGGCAGUGCUCUAGUGGCUGCGUGCCGUUUUUUGCAGCUGGGGUGGGUCUGGCGAAGGCACCCAGAACUCUCUGAAUUGAGGGGUUGUAAAACCAGGAUUGGAAUCCAGGCCUUUUGGGUUUCUAGACCAGUGCUCUUCUUGCUGUACCUUGAUUCACCACCCUCCCCCCCCCCCCCCCCCCCCCCCAUCAAGUUUAGGCUCACUUGGGGACCACCAGAGUCCCUUCAUCACCCUAAGGGCACAGGCUUUAUCUACAAUGGAGCUGAGGGGCAAAGGUGCUUUGGAGAGGGGAACCAGUAAGGUCAGGCCCCUUUCCUUGAGGACUUCAGGGGCUCCUGUGGGGCUCCUGGGUUGGCGGCGGUGGGGGGGGGGUUGGCACAGAGCCCUUCAGGAACCUCAGAGUAGUGGUGCAGGGCUGGUUUUGACUUGCCCAGCGACUGACUAGCUGGGUGAUUUUGCACUAUUCAUUUAACUUGUCCGAGCCCCAGUCUCCUCACCUGUACCGGGAGUAUAAUCAUCAUCAUUAUGCUUCCUAUCUCACAGGGUUGUUGUGAGGAGUAAAUGAGAUAAUAACACGUGAAAGCCCUCGACUAUGACAGUGGUUAUUAUCCCUUCCCCUGGCCCCUGCCAGGCUCUGGGCUCCUCCUUCAUAGGCCUAUAAUAAUGUCAGGGCCAGCCGUCUCCUGGCCUGGCCGGCCUCUGACCUCAGCCCUGGGCGCCAGGCUUCCCCUGCAUCCCUCAGUGAGAUGUGCGGAUGAGCAGGCAGCGGGCAGAAUCUAGCCGUUCAGCAGACACCGGCUCGGGCAGCCCACAGCCUGCCCUAGGCUGGCAGCCCAGCCCAUUUGGGCAGAGAGGAGCUGAUGCCAAGCCCUAAAUGCUGUUGGCUUGGCAGAGAGCCCUAGAAACUCAGUCCAUGCAAGGCGUGGGAUAGGUGCAGGGGUGGGAGAUCAGCAGGUGGCAACCUCCGUAUGGAUCCCAGAACAGAACUUGUAGACCCUGCCAGAGAUCUGCAGCAGUUUUCGGUCUGGGCUGGCUCCGAAAGGCCUGCUCCGCAGUUACUGGGUAUGCUUCUCCCACCUGGCCUGGGGACCCCUGUCUUCGCUUGCAUGCCCUUGCCCACUGUGCUUCCACCUCUAGCACGGAUUCCGCUCUUUUCUAGGAGAAAGUACCUGGAGGAGGACCUUGUGUCCGGUCAGAGGGGAACCACAGGUCUCCUUCCAUCUGCUUAGUCUCUGGGGUGCAGAGAGGAAGAGCAUGAAGGCUGAGGGAGGCCAGGGGGAGACACAGACAGAGCCACCGGGGGCAGGGGCGUGGGACUAGUCCUGCUCUAUUUCACUUUGGAGAACUCCAUCAAUAAUUCAAAGUCAAAGAGACUCCAGGUCUCAGGAACUGGGCUCUGGGACACCAGGCGGCCAAUCAGAUACAACCUCCUCCCCACCCCCAAGGGCAUGAGCUCAUGCCUCCUCCCCAUGGCUCUCACUCCCCCUCCUCCACACUAAGGCUCCCAGGGAAUUGGUAUUCUGCAGGCAGUGCCCCAAACUCGUGACCUCUCCUGGCCCUGCUAAUGACGCAGAAGUGCUGGGGCCAAACAAAGUACAGGGCACAGAGACAGCCAGUCCUGGGAAGGCCCACGAAUAUUCCUUGGGAAGGGAUGGGGCUAGAGGUGGAGUCACACCUUCUGGCCCGUAGAGUCCCAGGAGGGCUCCUAAAUCCCCGCUGUCCUGUCUGCUCCCAUCUGGCAGGCAAGUGACAGACCUCCCCCUUGCCAAGGCAGCCCUGGGGGGUCAUACCAUCACUAACAGCUCCCUGGAAGCUGACUCUCAGUGCUGACAUCUGGCUUAUAGUUCCCCUGUCUGGGGAGAGGCUCCCUUUUGGGGCUGAGGCCUUGAGCAUGCCUGUCCCCUUCCCUAACCCCUAGUUUCAUUCUUGAGAAAAGUGUCAACACUUUCCAGGUGAGCAGACAGCUUGGGUUGGUGCCCCUUGGCAUUACCUGGCACGGCUGUCCCUGGAGACUGCAGAAUUCACCACGGGUGGGAGAGCAGGCUGGGCCCUGGCUGUAGCCUUGCUGCGCAAGACAGGGACAGGACGGGCACUCACAUGGCUUCGAGUCUCCUUGUUGCUACAGGAACGGGCUGGACUGAAUGGCCCUUUCAUGGGGCAGUGGGAGGCCAGCCGAUUGGCUGGGAUUCCCCCGUCUCCCUCUCUGCCCGGCGUGGGGCCCCCGCUGCCCGUCUCCUUCUGCUGUUUACCCAGAGCUGGCAGGUAUAGGCAUGUGGCUCUAGGCAACUCCUCCCCAGGUGCCCGCCACCUCGGACAGCGGGGGCCCUCCACCUGCCAAGCUCCUCCUCCACUCCCAUCUUCGCAGGGGCGCCUCCACUCCUCCCUGCUCUGUCAGAGUUCCCCCUCACUUUGCUGUCCCCCCCCCCCCUGCUUUGGAGGCGCCUCUGCCUUCAUUCCUCUGCCCAGAGCACUCAGCUUCCUGAAGGGACAUGCGGUGCCUGGCGCUCUCCUGAGUGAACUUCGUACUGAGCGUCCUCAAAGUCUCAGUGCGGAUUUAGGCUUGGAUUCUUUCGGAGAAAGAAUGUAAACUUGCAAACAUCAUUUGAAGGCUUAAAUGAUUUAUGUUACAUUGAAAUGACCAUUUUUGCUCAAAAGUCAAAAAAAACGACAAGAAAUUAACUAAUGAAACUUUGAAGUGUGUAGCACUCAUAUUUCUGAAGUUACUGCAGUUUGGAGCUGCACUAAGGCUUCUGGGACACCCUGUAUGAACCUGCUUAAUUCUCACGAUCACCCUACGCAGCGGGUGCUGUUAUUCUGCCCACUUGCAGAUGAGGAAACCAGCGUUGGUGGAAGUGAUGCGGAUUUCCCCAAGGUCACACUGUGAGCAGUGGCAGAGCUGGACUGGGGACCCGUGCUCUGUCCCCUAACAGCCCCCCCCGAAGCCCCCCGCCCUGUCACUUCACACUUCCCUGGCCUCUCCCUGAGCUGCACAGGGUAGGACCUGCGGCAUGGGGUCUGGGGUGGGGGAAUGCAAGCAUCCACUGUCUAGGCAACAGCGUGGCGGGUACAGACUCCCACAGGAGCGGCCCUUCGAGUUUCCACGGCCGGCAAAUGAGAGCAAAGCCAAGUGCAACCUGAGCGCCAGUACAAUUCUGAUCGGCCAAGAGAUGGUCCAGGAGGCCUCUAUUUCACCUGCGGUGCCAAGCUCCCAAGUGUCCCCUGGCCGGCCUGGGCCCUUGGCCCCAGGCCUGCUUAUGGAUAUGACCCCCAGCCUCCUACCCUCGCUGCAGCUUGGCCCACUCCCCAAUGUACCCAGGCUGGAUGAGUCAGGGGUUAAAAUGAGCCCUGUCUCCCUGGGGCAGCCAACCCCCUUGCGUCAGCCACUGUCAUUUCCUGUUGCUCACGUGAAGGGCUCCCCAACCUGCCCAGCCAGGGGAGGGACUUGUUCCCCAGGAAUCCCAGGCACUCCUGGCCCCCGGGGUAGGGGAUGGGUAAUGCCCCACAUCCCAGAAGGCUUCAUGGCCCCUCUCUGCCCAGAUCCACUCUGCUUUCUGGCCUGAAGGCAUGCCAGCUUCUGUGCCCUUGCCAUUGCCUGGAUAGAAAGCCCCUAGCUGAGUUUCUGAGGCGUGCCUCCACAGAGUUCAGUCCUUCCCUCCUACCCAGGUGUCCAGGACAGGUGAGUGGAGAGUCCCGCCAGGUGCUUGGGAACCUCCACAGUGGUGACCUCAGAGCUUCCCAAAGCCACUUGCUAACACCAUUGGAAUGAGGCACUGCUGAUGUGCUGACCUUGAAAGGUAAAGAGGGCUGAGAGAGGGGUCCUGUCUCCCUUCAGCUACACUCUCUGACCCUUAACUGCUAUCUGCUUGGGCACUGUCUGGGCACAAGCAUCAGCUCCUAGGUUGAGGGAUGUUCUGGGAGAUGUGGUGAAUGCAGAUAGGGUGGAGGACCGGGGUGGGGGCCAUUUGCGCCUGCGUGUUCCAGCAGCUCUGUGUAUACCUCUCGGUCCCCAGCAGCCUCAGUGUGUCCCCUCGCCUCCAGCCUGUCACUGGUAGCUCUGUCUGUCCAAGGCUUGCACUCAGGGACCCACCAGUUUAGUGCCUAAUCCCCUUGCAUGCCUUGGCUGAGGGUCAGUCAAGGGAAUUUGGGUCUGUCUCAGUCUCUUUUGCUCCUAGUAGUUGCCCAAGGGCUAGGAGAAGGGUGAAGGGGUGAGAGAGAUUGGAGAUUAGGGCAAGAAUCCUGACUGGUGGAGAAAGGGGUGGGCCCAGGGUAGUAUGUCUAUAGUAUGCUUCUUGAUUUAGGGUUUGGAGGGGGUAGGCAUCUCUACACUUCCAAGAAAAGGCAAAGGAGUGGGCCCUCGGGCAGUAUCGGUAUCCUUAAAUUCUCUUUCCGAAUCACCUCUCUUGGGAGCUCUCCUGGUGCCCCCUCCCUAGGGGAGAGGCCCAGUCUCCCUGCUUUUCCUCCAGGGCUUAUCUUUUUUCUGUUCCUGCUGCCUCCUCUGCCUCUGCCUGCCUCCUCUGAGCCUUCGCCUUCAGUCUUGCCCACAGCACUUUCCAGGCCCUGUUGGACAGCCUAUCACAUGCUCCUCCCAAACACCCAGGGCUCUCUGGACAGCAGCCCCGCAAAGCUCACAUACUACAGGGGCAGCUACUGACCUGUGUCCGGGGGUACUGGACAGGAUCUGGGGGCUUCUCCUUUCCCAGCAAGGCAGGGAGAGCAGUGGAGAGCCGGGAGGCUGGAGUCUGACUGGGGCUGGGUAAUCCGGAGCUCAGGUUACCGACUCCGAUAUAUAUAGUAUCUUAUCUGACCUCACAGAGAUGGCUAGCUCAACUCACUUGCAUUCCAAGCCCGGGGAGAAUUAAAGGGGCAGUGGCAGGCCCUCCCUCGAGGUGCUGCCCUUAUGGGCCAGGGCCAGGCAAGGAGAUCCUGCGAGGGCUCUCUGAAGGAGGGGGCAUUUUGAAAUGGACGGAAGGGGGACCCAGGGGAAACAGAACUGGAAAGAGGGUAGGGGGAUGGUGGGGGUGGGAGGAAUAGAGGCAAGAAUAUGGAGAAGGAGGUGUCGGUCACAGAAUGAGAGGAGAGGAUGAAGCCUCAGUGCUAGUCCCAAUCCUCCCUUUCAAGGUGGAGUAGCUCCAGAGGUCCAGGGCGUACAGGUAGUGGGAGGCAGGCGGGACCUGCUCUCAGGUAUUCAGUCCAAACUUACAAUGGACUUCUAGGCCUGGGCUUAUAUUCCAGCUCAUUCCUUUUUUUUUUUUUUUUAAUAGGCUCUGACACUGUGGGCAAGGCACGUUAAGCUGUCUGAACCUUAGGGUGUUAAUCUGUAAAUCAGGAGUGAAAAGGAUAAUAACGCUAUACCUCCCAAUUUUAAGAAUUAAAUAGAAUAACAUAAGUUUCCCUGGCCUAUGGUUAAGAGUUCAAUAAACGAUAAUAAUGAUUAUGCUGAAUACUUCCACUUAUUAUUAUAGUUAGUGGCGGUAUGUGUAGGAGCACCUACCAGGGAAACCUUCUUAGGGAGAGCAGGGCCUCGGGGCUACCCAUUGGGAGUGCUCUGUUCUAAUGCCAGACGACAGCCCCAUGGGUUUCUGAGCUGGUCCGUGUCCCAUAAGUGGCGUGGGCAAACGACUCUUGCGAUAUUCCCAGAUGUCCAGCCCAUCCAGCCGAGAAGGGCCAGGCCUGUUUCGGCUCCUUCCCCCUUUGCCUAGAAAAAUAGAGCAAGUGCAGCUGUCCCCAGGCUACCAGGAGAAAGCUGCUCUGGGGUGGCUCCACUCUACCUGUAGGAGUGCUCAGGAUUCCGAGGCCACAGAGCUGGGCUGGGCAGGCUCACAGGAGGAAGGAGCAGGAUUCUUAACCUCUUGGGCCUUGGUGCUCUUGUGUGCUCCCGGUCCGUGGCUCCUGUUUCCCGAUGGCUCUCCCUGAGGACUGGGAGUACCCAGUACUCCACCCUGUCUCAGCAGAGGCUACUGACUCAGCUUGGGUCCUGGUGAUGCACUUCAGAGGACGCCCUCGUCCCUGGCCCUCAUUCCAGUCCUCAUUCCGACUCCAGUUUGGUACGCAUCUACAGUAUUCAAAGGAGUGGGGGAUGCCCCAACCCCAGCCCAACCAGCUCUCCUUUUCUCCACUCUCCGGGGUUGGGCUUGGGGGACCUUCUUAUGCCGGUGCCUUGGGGAGGUGAACAUCACCACGAUCUCCAGUGCAGCCCCAUUCUAGAAGGCAGAUCAGGAGGUAGGUGUUCAUUCCUCAGAGGACAGCUAAAAUGGGUUGGUCAGGGCUUCCCUUGGCUGUUAAGUAGAAGUUACUCGCCUUGGAGCACCGCGUGCCUGCUUCUGGUUUGGGAUUGGUGAGAAUUUCAAAGAUGCCUCUUUCUGGUUUGGGAUUGGUGGAAAAUCUCCCCUUCCACUUAACUGCUGCCCUACCCCCACCCUCACCCCUUCGGGCGAACUGACCGGAGACAGCCCCCAGGAGCUGAAACAGGGUGGAGUAAGUGAACUGGAUGUACACGUGGGGAGGGGGGUUGUCAGUGUCCAGGCGUCACUCUCAGGCCGUAUACCACACAGGGCACAGAGACCUGGACCUGCCCAAGCGGCAUUUCCUGAGAACACACUGAUCAGCACACAGAUGGCUCUUCCUGGCACCCCGGGUCUGUCAGCUGGCAGGUUCCCCCCUCCCACAACUGGCACCCACAGCUGGAGCUCCUCCACACAGCUGGCGCUCGCCCUACAUUUCUGGUGCCCGUUCUACCCAGGCUGUCGUUGACACCUCACUUUCCGAGCCUCCAACGGCACUGACCUCCGCAUCCCUCCUCCCCAGUCUGCGACAGGUGGCACGUACCUGCCUCUUCUCCGAGGAUGGACGAGUCGAGCCGGGCACAAGCAUGGAGCUGCGGGUGAGUCCCGGCUGGUACUGGCGCGGCGCAGUGAGCAGCAGCUGACGCAGAGGGCUCCCUGGCCUCGGCUCCUGCCCGCCUCUCCC